GAAAGAAUAUCGGAGACGGAUGGGCAUGCGGCGCAUUAGCUGGUUGGCGGGGUAACGGCCCACCAAGGCGACGAUGCGUAGGGGUUCUGAGAGGAAGGUCCCCCACACUGGUACUGAGACACGGACCAGACUCCUACGGGAGGCAGCAGUGAGGAAUAUUGGUCAAUGGGCGAGAGCCUGAACCAGCCAAGUCGCGUGAGGGAGUACUGCCCUAUGGGUUGUAAACCUCUUUUGUCGGGGAGCAAAAGCCGGACGUGUCCGGCUGUGAGAGUACCCGAAGAAAAAGCAUCGGCUAACUCCGUGCCAGCAGCCGCGGUAAUACGGAGGAUGCGAGCGUUAUCCGGAUUUAUUGGGUUUAAAGGGUGCGCAGGCGGAUUUUUAAGUCAGCGGUCAAAUCGUGGGGCUCAACCCCAUCCAGCCGUUGAAACUGGGGAUCUAGAGUGUGCGAGAGGUAUGCGGAAUGCGUGGUGUAGCGGUGAAAUGCAUAGAUAUCACGCAGAACCCCGAUUGCGAAGGCAGCAUACCGGUGCACAACUGACGCUCAGGCACGAAAGCGUGGGUAUCGAACAGGAUUAGAUACCCUGGUAGUCCACGCAGUAAACGAUGAAUGCUACCUGUUUGGCCAGAUUGAUGGCUGAGCGGG
rnacentral:rRNA from 1 species